AGAUGAGGUCUCACAAUAUUGCCCAGGCUGGUCUCAAGUCCCUGGACUCAAGUGACCCUCCUGCGUUGACCUCCCAAAGUGCUGUUAUUACAAGCAUGAGCCACGGUGCCCAGCCACCACCAGGAGGUUCUAUACAGUCUUUCCCGGGUAUUGACAUGCAAAUAAUAGUAUUUUUAAAAGAUUUCUUGGAUUUGAAUUUGUAAGAUUCUCAGAAACAGCCAAUGAUGAAUUAUACCCUAUUAAAAAAAGAAUCCAAUGAGACAUGCAACUGAUAUUUGAGGUUAGAUGCAGGCCCAUUUUGGUUUGCAGGGCCCUCUUCCACAGGGACGCUGUCACAAGGCUCUAGCUUAAACAUCUUCCAGCCAUUUCCCCAAGUUUCAGCUUCUGUAACAUCUCUGAUGGAUGCAUUUUGACUGGAGCAGGAGGCUCAGCAGCAUAAUGGCACUAACAUUUCUCUGCCGCCUUUUGAGUUAUAGCUCGGUGGGCUUGCCCUUUCCUAUUUCAUGGAUUUGCUUUCUCCGUUUGUUCUUACUUGAUUAGGAAAUUGCUGUACACAGAACUUCUCCCUGUCCAUAAAUAUCACCCAAGUUACACAGCAUGGGGAGAGAGCUGCUAUUGUUUGGUUCACUGACUUUGGGACUUUUUGAGAUAUGGAUAUGAGAGGCAUUCCUCCACAGAAGAGGCUUAACCACUUUGGCCCUUGAGAUCUUUACUUGAUCAAAACUUCUACAAGCGUGCUGGCAUGCUGGAGUCAGCUAGAAUUGGAUUGCCAGAGCCUGUUGUGUGCACCUGUCCCCAACUCUGUCCAGUGACCUCAGCCUCCUUUCACAGAGACUGAAUUUCAAUCAGCUGCUCUCAGUUGACAAUGAUAAAAUUAUCUCUAUAUGGGCAAAUGCGUGCUCUUUGUCGAAAAAGAAAGCUUCAGCUUCAUGUUCCAGGUGAGUUAAUUAGGCAAUGUAUGAAUGCUAAUAUCUCUUUCACAUAUUUUGCUUAAGAUCUGUCUUAGGACUCUCGUCUGGCCCAUAUGGUUUUCCAAGGGCAGAAGGGCCUCUAUUUUACCUGAUGGUGACAGCUUGGUGUAUAAGUUAGUGCUAAUGUAUAUUACUGCAUUUCAUUUCUGUGGAGCCUGUCAGCUGAGCAAAGGAGGGAAACUCAGGAUGGAGAACUCCUCCCCCUCCAUCCAUAAGUGGCACACCACUGGCCUCCUGGUGUUAUUAAAGGAAAAUUGGAAAAGUUUCCAGAAGAUUAAGCAGAAAGCUUACAACUUGCACAAGACUCUCAAUUUUCCAGUGGCUCUGACAGAAGGAUAAAUCUUCGGCUGUUUUAACUAAAAUGGACGGUCAAGUUGGUAUCCAUCGUGAAGCUAAAUGAAUAUCUGGACAGGAGUCAGACAAAGGGAAGGAGAAUCCAGGGGAAGAUGAAGCAGCUGCAGGCCUGUCUGCUACCCUAUAUCCGGGGAAGAGCCAGAAAGUAAGUGACAACAUGGAUAAGGUACAAAGUAGCUACUCCUUUACUUUCACACUGAAAUAUUGCCCCCUCCACUUAAAAAAAAAAGUAGAAGAAGAAAAAGAAAGAACGUUUCUUUUGGCUCACUCUAACCAGAGACAUACGAGAAAACUAUUUAUGGCAAAUGAAGUUCAGCCUAUCCAAGUUGGCACAUUACAAAGCUGCCACAGAGAGCAUAGAAAAUGGUGAAUAUUUAUAAAUGUACCCUUAUAUGGGUACAAAUUUUAUGUUGAGUGGGUUCAUCAUGUGUUUAUUGCAUUAGAAAAACAAGUGUUCAUACCAAGAACAAGGAGAAGGUUUCAGAAGCUUCCAAAAACAAACAAAAUAACAGUUUUUAUAUAAAGGAUUAGGAAUCAGAAUGUUGUAAGGCUAUUAAACAUUCACUCUGGAAGCUAGAAGAUAAAAAAAAAGCCCUUUAAAAUUCUAUAUCUAGCAAAAUUAACAAUUUUGUGUGAACAUAGAAUAAAGCAAGUGUUAGCAAAUAUUUGCUUCGUAAAGGUCCAGAUAAUAAAUGUUGUAGAUUUUAUCAUCUAAAUGUUCUUUAUUGCAAUUUCUCAAAUCUUCCAUUGUGGCAUAAUAUAUAAUAAGUAAACAAAUGGAUGUGGCUGUAUUCUAAUAAAACCUUAUUCACUAAAAUGGGAGGAUUUUAGCCUACAGCCUAUAGUUGGCUGACCCAUGGAAUAAAGAUAUUUUCAAGUAAGCAAAAUCACAGGAAAAAAAAUGUUGCUUUUUUUGUAUCUUUUUCUGAAAAGUUAUUGCAUAAAUAUACCCAUGAAAAUUAGGGUUGACACCAAGUUUUUAAAAAUAACAGGAAAUAGAGGAUUCCAUACAGGAGAAAAACCAACAGAACUCCCAGGCUGAUGGUGAAGGAGAAUAUCAGGAUGAUAACAUUGCCACUGGCCUAGAGAACAACCAGUUUAGACUAGAGCAGGUUGCUGACCAUAGAGAGUUACAUUGUCCAGCUUUUCCUCCACGAAAUGGAGCAGCAACAAAAGGCCAGAUCAUUCAACCUAUGCUUCCUCAAGUCUGAUAACAUUAGCGUUUCUCUCAGAUAUCAGUUCAAGUAAGGAGUUGCCAAUAGAAGCAAAGAGAUGCCAGGAAUCAUCGUUUUUAUUUCAGUGUCCUUACGAAGACCUUUGAGCACAAUGGAACGAUGAGGCAACAUUAAAUAUUACUGGAAUGGGGUAUGAAAGCAGCUACUAGAAAAUCCUGCAAGAAAAAUAG
rnacentral:lncRNA from 1 species